UACAGAGGGUGCAAGCGUUAAUCGGAAUUACUGGGCGUAAAGCGUGCGCAGACGGUUGCGUAAGUCAGAUGUGAAAGCCCCGGGCUCAACCUGGGAAUUGCAUUUGAGACUGCGUAGCUAGGGUGCGGAAGAGGGAAGCGGAAUUUCCGGUGUAGCGGUGAAAUGCGUAGAUAUCUGGAGGAACACCGGUGGCGAAGGCGGCAUCCUGGACCGACACUGACGCUGAGGAGCGAAAGCCAGGGGAGCAAACGGG
rnacentral:rRNA from 1 species